UACGUAGGGUGCGAGCGUUAAUCGGAAUUACUGGGCGUAAAGCGUGCGCAGGCGGUUCGUUGUGUCGGCGGUGAAAGCCCCGGGCUUAACCUGGGAAUGGCCGUUGAAACUGGCGAACUGGAGUGUGGCAGAGGGGGGUGGAAUUCCGCGUGUAGCAGUGAAAUGCGUAGAGAUCCGGAAGAACACCGGUGGCGAAGGCGGUCUGCUGGGGUAAUGCUGACACUGAUGCGCGACAGCGUGGGGAGCAAACAGG
rnacentral:rRNA from 1 species